UGGUACCUUCGGUGCCCGAGUUGUAAUUUGGAGAGGGCAACUUUGGGGCCGUUCCUUGUCUAUGUUCCUUGGAACAGGACGUCAUAGAGGGUGAGAAUCCCGUGUGGCGAGGAGUGCGGUUCUUUGUAAAGUGCCUUCGAAGAGUCGAGUUGUUUGGGAAUGCAGCUCUAAGUGGGUGGUAAAUUCCAUCUAAAGCUAAAUAUUGGCGAGAGACCGAUAGCGAACAAGUACAGUGAUGGAAAGAUGAAAAGAACUUUGAAAAGAGAGUGAAAAAGUACGUG
rnacentral:rRNA from 1 species